UACGGGGGGGGCAAGCGUUGUUCGGAAUUACUGGGCGUAAAGGGCUCGUAGGCGGCCAACUAAGUCAGACGUGAAAUCCCUCGGCUUAACCGGGGAACUGCAUCUGAUACUGGAUGGCUUGAGUUCGGGAGAGGGAUGCGGAAUUCCAGGUGUAGCGGUGAAAUGCGUAGAUAUCUGGAGGAACACCGAUGGCGAAGGCAAUCCCCUGGACCUGUACUGACGCUCAUGCACGAAAGCGUGGGGAGCAAACAGG
rnacentral:rRNA from 1 species